rnacentral:lncRNA from 1 species
AAGUCCUCCUGUUGAUUCUUUCUGUGAUUCCUAUCCCUAGUCAUAAAAUAUGCCCUGUACAGUGCAGAGCCUAUAAAUCUGACAUUUUGACUUUCAGUGGGGUCAUUUAAUCAGUGCUCUUCCUCCACAUGAAUCCACAUUUUGAAACACAUUAGUCACAAUUACCCCAUUAUAUCUUGCUCUCUCGCCAUAUGGGCUUCUACAUACAGACCUGACACACAAUACACAGGGUGUGCCCUGCAGAACAUCCCUCUCCGCGUUGGACCCAUUUGCAGCAAUAUAAACCAGCAUGUCUAACCUAAACUGGCUGCACAAACAUUUCUGGUCUGUCAUGGCCACCGUAAAGCGUCUGCCAUCAGAUUCUUGUAAUCAGAUACGUAACCCCCCCGGAUCAGUUCCCCCCCAGCCUGAUCCCUUCCCCAUCGCGAUUGGCCCGCCUGAAUCUGUUUAUUGCCGCUCCUGGGGCUCUGCCACCAACUAUCCACGCAGUGCGCUCUAGGGCAGGGGGAGACCGGGCAGCUGGGCGCCUGCGAUCUCGGCUGCAUUUGCAGCGCCACAUGCCGCUCUAGAACCCCGCUGGCGCUCGCGGGGGGUUCUGGAACCCUGCCCAGUGCGUUCUAAGCGCGGAGGGACAGGAAGGGUUUCCGCUGCUCCCGCUCCAUGUGCACUGCUGGAAAUCGGCCGACCCGGAGCCUAGUGGCGCCCCUCAGCCCAGCGCUGGGGGAGCAUUGCUAGAACCCGGCGCAGUGCGAUCUAGAAGGCAGACUCCACUCCCGUUUCUAGGACCCGGUACGUUCUAGAAGCCUACGUUUUAGAGCCUGGGCUAUUCUGGAAGACGCGCCUCCGCGGCAGGUGGGGCAGCUCUGGAGCCCGAGGGGCCGCGUUGUAGCGAUCGGCGCUGAGCCGCUUUAGAACCCGCCGGGACCCGAUCUCUGCAGGGGAAGGGGGCGGCUAUAGAACCCAGCCAGCGGGGUCCAGAGGGGCCCGCCCGGUGCAGCCAUGCUGGAAUCGGCGGUGCGGCUGGCCCUGGGAGCCGGCGAGCUGGUGGCUCCGGGACCGCAGCUCUCGGAGCGGCUGGCCCUGCUGCAGGCGCAGGUGCUCGCUUCCCUCUGGCCCAUGCUGCUGCUAGGAGGGGCCGUGGCGCUGCUUGUCCUGUUGGGGAUGCUCCGGCGCUGGGACCGGGCGCGGCCGGGCCCCCAGCACAGCGCGGCGGGGGAGGAGGGUGGCGCUGGGUCUGCCAGCUACGAGGAAGGACGACUGCCAGCGCCGGCCCCGCGGACACAGAACGGGAUAGCUGGGCAGCAGGAGCAAAGGGCGAGGCAGAGCCACGAGGCAAAGGUUCCAGUGAAUUGUCAGCUUCUAACCUCUGUUGGCAUGAGAGAAAAAAAGCUACUGAAGGUACCACUAUUAGUUCCAGAAUUUACACGGUAUUUCUAA